AUCUCUCUCAGACUCACGCACACCGCCCCGCCCGCCCGCCUGUCGUAGUGUCGGCUGCGCUCUGCGGCGGCCGCCCGCCUGGCCGCCUUCGCCUUGGGAUCCCCAGAGCAGCUCUUGGCAUUGGGGAAUGUCCCGGGUCCUCCCCGCAGCCGCAGCACGCAGCCCAGCCUUCCGCUCUCCCUCCGCGCCGCAUUUAUUUGCUACCUACGAGGGGCACACCUCGCGAGACCCUGCAGCGCCACAGUGAGGAGCGAGCAAUGGCCGCCGCCGCCGCUGCUAGUAUAUAGCGGGCGUGUUCUCCGUGCUCGAUCCAGAGCUGAGCGGGAGUAGCGUGCUAGCUGUUCGAGUGUCCAGCUGCUCCUGUUCGUCCGGCGAUGAGACCCGCUCGCGGCCGCCGGCUGCUGGCGCUCGGCCUCGCGUUGCUGGUAGCGCUCGGCGCCUGCGCGGGCCAAGGGGAGGAGGACGACGGGUCCGACUCCCCGACGGCUCCGAUGGAGGAGAAGGAGCGGGCGGCGCUGUACGCGGCCAUCGAGAGCUUCGUCGGCAAGGGGUGGAACGGCUCCGGCAUCUACCCCGACCCCUGCGGCUGGUCGCCCAUCCAGGGGGUGUCAUGUGACUUGUUCAAUGGCUUGUGGUACCCAACAUCGAUCAGCAUUGGCCCAGUUCUUGACAACUCACUGCAGUGCGCCCCUGACGCCAAGUUCAGCCCCCAGCUGUUCGACCUGAGGCGCCUCCGGACGCUGUCCUUCUACAGCUGCUUCCCGGCGAGCAACCCCACGGCGAUCCCCGCCGCCAGCUGGGAGAAGCUGUCGGGCAGCCUGGAGACGCUCGAGUUCCGCACCAACCCGGGCCUCACCGGCGCCGUCCCGGCCUCCCUCGGCCGCCUGGCCAGCCUGCAGUCGCUGGUGCUCGUCGAGAACAACCUCACAGGCGCCGUGCCCGCCGAGCUCGGCGCGCUGCUGAAGCUGAGGCGGCUGGUCCUGUCCGGGAACGGGCUGUCGGGGCCGAUCCCGGCGACACUCGGUAACCCCCGCCGCCACGACGAGCAGCUGAUCGUGGACCUGAGCAAGAACCAUCUAACCGGGUCUCUGCCUCCGUCGCUAGGUGCUCUGAGAGGGCUCCUCAAGCUGGACCUGAGCAACAACCAACUGCAAGGGGGCAUCCCGCCGGAGCUCGGCGGGCUCAAGAGCCUCACGCUGCUGGACCUCCGGAACAACAGCCUCACCGGCGCCCUGCCGGGGUUCGUGCUGGGCAUGGCGUCGCUGCAGGACCUGCUGCUCUCGAACAACCCGCUGGGCGGGACCCUGCCGGCCUCCGGGUGGGAGAGGCUGUCCGGCCUGGCGACGCUGGACCUGUCCAACGUCGGGCUCGCCGGUGCUAUACCGGAGUCGAUGGCGGCGCUGUCCGGGCUGCGGUUCCUUGCGCUCGACCACAACCGGCUGACGGGCCCCGUGCCGGCGAGGCUGGCGCAGCUGCCCAGCAUCGGCGCCAUGUACCUGAACGGCAACAACCUGACGGGCGCGCUCGGGUUCGCGCCGGGGUUCUACCGGCGGAUGGGGCGGCGGUUCGCGUCGUGGGACAACCCGGGGCUGUGCUACGACGUGGCCGCCGUGGACGCGGCCCACGCGCCCGCCGGGGUGGUGGUGUGCAAGGACCUGCAGGAGCCCGGCGCCCGCGCUGGCGCGCGGGAGGACGGGGGGAGGAAGCCUGAGGCGAGCUCAAGCCUCAUGGCGUCGUCGUCGGUCGGGUUCUCGGCCGCUGGCCCGGGCGGGUUUCUGGUCCAUGGUGGCGGUUCAGGGCACCGUGGCUGCGCUCCUUGGGUCGGUGCUGCUAUAGCGGCAGGUUCAGACAGUUCAGACAGAUGGACUGGGAGCAGAACAUGGAGAAACUUGUAGGUAGUUUUGCGGAAACUAGUUUCUGCGUGUUCUCUGAUCUUUUGCCCCCCUUUUUUGGCUGGUGCUUCUGCUCAUCAUCGGACGGGUGAAAGAAGCAUGGCUGGAUGGACGUGUCUGGUGGCUGUGAUGAAAGCCAGAUUACAGUAGGGGAGUGGAUAUACUUUGGAUUGUUGCUGGUCACUCUCUGAGACUCUCCCGUUUUAGGGAGCAGGAAGGAAGCCGAAACGAAGGCCGUGGAGACGGAGAGUGGCAUUGGCGCUCGGCAGGAACAGCAAGUCAGCAACGCAGCCGUGUGCUCUACUGCUCUGUGCUCUCCUCCGUCCUCCCGCAGGAGCCGCGAAGCACAGGGACGGGCAAGCAGGAAGCACAGGCCGCGGCGAGCGCGCGCCGUGCAGUUGCGCUGGCGGCAGGGGCGUGCCUGGUCCUGAACUGGCCGCCUGCUGUGUUUCUGAAACGUGACGGUGACUGCGCGGGCCCCCGCGCGCGCAGAGGAAGCCAGAGAGGAGGGGGGGGAUUCAUUCUUGACGGUACAUGAAUUGAGAGUGAGGCCUUGUUUAGUUGGGGAAUUUGGGAGGUGCCAAAUUACUGUUACAGCACUGUAGCACACUGUAGCGUUUCGUUUGUAUUUGUGAAUUAUUGUCCAAAUAUUGACUAAUUAGGCUCAAA